GGAGAGAUGCUCGAGUGGUUGAAGAGGCACGCCUGGAAAGUGUGUAAGCGCCAAAAGUGCUUCGGGGGUUCGAAUCCCUUUCUCUCCG
rnacentral:tRNA from 1 species